rnacentral:rRNA from 1 species
ACGAACGCUGGCGGCGUGCCUAAUACAUGCAAGUCGAACGCUUCUUUUUCCAUCGGAGCUUGCUCCACCGGAAAAAGAGGAGUGGCGAACGGGUGAGUAACACGUGGGUAACCUGCCCAUCAGAAGGGGAUAACACUUGGAAACAGGUGCUAAUACCGUAUAACAAUCGAAACCGCAUGGUUUUGAUUUGAAAGGCGCUUUCGGGUGUCGCUGAUGGAUGGACCCGCGGUGCAUUAGCUAGUUGGUGAGGUAACGGCUCACCAAGGCGACGAUGCAUAGCCGACCUGAGAGGGUGAUCGGCCACAUUGGGACUGAGACACGGCCCAAACUCCUACGGGAGGCAGCAGUAGGGAAUCUUCGGCAAUGGACGAAAGUCUGACCGAGCAACGCCGCGUGAGUGAAGAAGGUUUUCGGAUCGUAAAACUCUGUUGUUAGAGAAGAACAAGGAUGAGAGUAACUGUUCAUCCCUUGACGGUAUCUAACCAGAAAGCCACGGCUAACUACGUGCCAGCAGCCGCGGUAAUACGUAGGUGGCAAGCGUUGUCCGGAUUUAUUGGGCGUAAAGCGAGCGCAGGCGGUUUCUUAAGUCUGAUGUGAAAGCCCCCGGCUCAACCGGGGAGGGUCAUUGGAAACUGGGAGACUUGAGUGCAGAAGAGGAGAGUGGAAUUCCAUGUGUAGCGGUGAAAUGCGUAGAUAUAUGGAGGAACACCAGUGGCGAAGGCGGCUCUCUGGUCGGUAACUGGCGCUGAGGCUCGAAAGCGUGGGGAGCAAACAGGAUUAGAUACCCUGGUAGUCCACGCCGUAAACGAUGAGUGCUAAGUGUUGGAGGGUUUCCGCCCUUCAGUGCUGCAGCUAACGCAUUAAGCACUCCGCCUGGGGAGUACGACCGCAAGGUUGAAACUCAAAGGAAUUGACGGGGGCCCGCACAAGCGGUGGAGCAUGUGGUUUAAUUCGAAGCAACGCGAAGAACCUUACCAGGUCUUGACAUCCUUUGACCACUCUAGAGAUAGAGCUUCCCCUUCGGGGGCAAAGUGACAGGUGGUGCAUGGUUGUCGUCAGCUCGUGUCGUGAGAUGUUGGGUUAAGUCCCGCAACGAGCGCAACCCUUAUUGUUAGUUGCCAUCAUUUAGUUGGGCACUCUAGCAAGACUGCCGGUGACAAACCGGAGGAAGGUGGGGAUGACGUCAAAUCAUCAUGCCCCUUAUGACCUGGGCUACACACGUGCUACAAUGGGAAGUACAACGAGUCGCAAAGUCGCGAGGCUAAGCUAAUCUCUUAAAGCUUCUCUCAGUUCGGAUUGUAGGCUGCAACUCGCCUACAUGAAGCCGGAAUCGCUAGUAAUCGCGGAUCAGCACGCCGCGGUGAAUACGUUCCCGGGCCUUGUACACACCGCCCGUCACACCACGAGAGUUUGUAACACCCGAAGUCGGUGAGGUAACCUUUUGGAGCCAGCCGCCUAAGGUGGGAUAGAUGAUUGGGGUG